rnacentral:rRNA from 1 species
GACGUAGGGCGCAAGCGUUGUCCGGAUUUAUUGGGCGUAAAGAGCUCGUAGGCGGCUUGUUGCGUCGUCCGUGAAAACCUGCAGCUUAACUGUGGGCUUGCGGUCGAUACGGGCAUCACUGGAGUUCGGCAGGGGAGACUGGAAUUCCUGGUGUAGCGGUGAAAUGCGCAGAUAUCAGGAGGAACACCGGUGGCGAAGGCGGGUCUCUGGGCCGAUACUGACGCUGAGGAGCGAAAGCGUGGGGAGCGAACAGG